rnacentral:rRNA from 1 species
CAGCAGCCGCGGUAAUACGGAGGGUGCAAGCGUUACUCGGAAUUACUGGGCGUAAAGCGUGCGUAGGUGGUGGUUUAAGUCCGUUGUGAAAGCCCUGGGCUCAACCUGGGAAUUGCAGUGGAUACUGGGUCACUAGAGUGUGGUAGAGGAUAGUGGAAUUUCCGGUGUAGCAGUGAAAUGCGUAGAGAUCGGAAGGAACAUCUGUGGCGAAGGCGACUAUCUGGGCCAACACUGACACUGAGGCACGAAAGCGUGGGGAGCAAACAGGAUUAGAUACCCCAGUAGUCCCUGUCUCUUAUAC